GGUGUUUCUUGAGCCGGACAGACAGCGCCCCGCGGAGCUCGCUCCCCGGGGGCUACCCCGCCCCGGCGGUGGUUUAGAGUCGCAAGGCCGCUCGGAGAAGCCUUGGUCCGGAACUCCACCCUUGAAUACACUGCCCCUGUUGCUUUGGCGGGCCGCCCCGUGCCGGCGGCCUCGGCUGCCGAGUGCCCGCCAGAGACCCCCCCAACUCGUUGUCUCAGUGGCGUCCGAGUACUAUACAAUAGUUAAAACUUUCAACAACGGAUCUCUUGGUUCUGGCAUCGAUGAAGAACGCAGCGAAAUGCGAUAAGUAAUGUGAAUUGCAGAAUUCAGUGAAUCAUCGAAUCUUUGAACGCACAUUGCGCCCCCUGGUAUCCCGGGGGGCAUGCCUGUUCGAGCGUCAUUACAACCACUCAAGCCUUGGCUUGGUCUUGGGGCGCGCGGUCUCGCGGCCCCUAAAACCAGUGGCGGUGCCCGUCGGCUCUACGCGUAGUACAUACCCCUCGCGACUGAGCCCGGCCGGGCCACCUGCCAGCAACCCCCUACUUUCACAGGUUGACCUCGGAUCAGGUAGGGAUACCCGCUGAACUUAAGCAUAUCAAUAAGCGGAGGGACUU
rnacentral:rRNA from 1 species